ACGGACUCCAUCUCAGAGCUCGCCUGCACUGACUCAGCCCUCAUUCUGUAUAACGCUGAGGGGAUCAUCACAUAGGAUAAGGUCAAUGUCGUUUCUAAAGCAGCUGGGGUAAAUGAUGACGGCUUUUGGCCUGGCUUGUCUGCCAAGGCCCUGGCCAUCGUCAACUUCGGGAGCCUCCUCUGCAGUGGAGGGGCGGGGUGGGAAGACCUGCUCAGCAGCUGGUGGUGUACCUGCGGGAGGUCCUGCCCUUCUGUCACUGUGGCCUAGGCCGAGAAGAAGAAGGUGGAAGCAAAGAAAGAAGAAUCUGGAGUCUGAUGAUAAUAUGGGCUUUUUUUUUUUUUUUUUGAGUAA
rnacentral:lncRNA from 10 species